GGGGUCAAUGUGGGGUAGGGGGCUAUGAGACCCCCAAGUGUGGGGUCUAUGGGGUCAAUGUGGGGUAGGGAGCUACAGGACCCCCAAGUGUGGGGUUUUGUGGGGCUGAAUGUGGGGUAGGGGGCUAUGGGACCCCCAAGUGUGGGGUUUUGUGGGGUCAAUGUGGGGUAGGGGGCUACAGGAUCCCAAUUGCAGGGUUUGUGGGGUCGAUGUGGGGCAGGGGGCCAUGGGACCCCCAAGUGUGGGGUUUGGGGUGGUCGAUGUGGGGCAGGGGGCCACGGGACCCCCAAGUGUGGGGCUGUGGGAUGCUCCAUACCUUCUUGUAGGGCACGCAGGGGUUCAUCGCUGCCUCCGGCCGCUUCCAAAGCUGCCCCCAAAAGACCCCAAAUAGUUUUGGGGCCGCCCCACAGCGCACCCCAAACUGCACCCCGCACCCAACCCCACGCUGACUCACGGGGCCUCACGUGCCCCACAGACGGGGAGGGGAAGUGGGACGGCCCCAAAAUGGGAGGGUUUCCCUGGGGGUGUGGGGCAGGAUGGGGUUAUAGGGACUGGGGUGGGAUUGGGGGCGGGAGCGGGGGGUGUUUGGGGCGGAUUUUGGGAUGUUUGGGUGUUUUGGGGGCAGAUUUGGGGAUGUUUGGGGGGGAUUUGGGGUCAGGGAUGGGAUUGGGGUCAGGAUUUGGGGAUGUUUGGGGCAGAUUUGGGAUAUUUGGGUGUUUUGGGGGCAGAUUUGGGGAUGUUUGGGGUGGAUUUGGGGUCAGGGAUGGGGUUGGAGUCGGGAUUUGGGGAUAUUUGGGAUGGAUUUGGGAUAUUUGGGUGUUUUUGGGGCAGAUUUGGGAAUGUUUGGGGUGGAUUUGGGGUCAGGGAUGGGAUUGGGGUCGGGAUUUGGGGACAUUUGGGGUGGAUUUGGGGUCAGGUAUGGGACUGAGGUCGGAAUUUGGGGUCAUUUGGGGCCAUUUGGGUGUUUUGGGGUCAGGAUUUGGGGCCAUUUGGGGCGGAUUUGGGGCCAUUUGUGGUACUUUAGGCUGAGGACUGGGGGAUAUUUGGGGUCAGCGAUGGGACUGGGGUCGGAAUUUGGGGAUAUUUGGGGCCAUUUGGGGACUUUUGGGGUAUUUCAGGCUCAGGGUCGGCGAUCUUUGGGGUCGGGGUGGAUUUUGGGGUGGAUUUUGGGGGGGAUUUGGGGCCAUUUUGGGGACAAUGUGGGGCUCCAACCACGUCCAGCCCGAGAUGUGGCGGAUUUGGGGCAUUUUGGGGCAUUUCGGGCGGAUUUCGGGCGGAUUUCGGGCGGAUUUCGGGCGGAUUUCGGGCGGAUUUCGGCCACUUUCGACCCUUUUCCCCCCCGCCCCCCCAGCCGUACCGGAGGUCCCGNNNNNNNNNNNNNNNNGGCGGAUCCGGGGGGCGGCGCCCGCCGCCGCGCUGCGCUCUAUGAUCACCGCUCCUGUUUGUGCCGGGGCGCGGAGUUAUGACGUCACGUCCGGCUCCCCGCGGUCAGCACUUCCGGUUGGGGCCUGGACGGGAGGGUCCGCGAGGCGACGCGAUGGGGCGGGGGAGGUGUGUGGGGAAAUGGGGCGGGGGGAGACGGAGGGGGCUGUGGGGCAG
ensembl:lncRNA